CGCUCGCGUAGCGAAGCCUUAGAAGUGGUCCGAAGCAAUCCAGCUCAAAGCGCUUCAUAACUCAAUCUGGAUUAAUUGAGCGUUACCUCACGUAACGCAUCCAAAUUAGUCCGACUGUUAUUCUAGCACGGACAGAAACCAAGCCACGCGAACCGUUUGCUUUUAUUUUUGAGCACAGAAAUGCUACUCUCAGAAUUCUCUCAAAUUAAUUAACUGGAUUAACCAAUCAGGAGGCGACACACUUUGGCGCAAUCCUUUCCAGAGGUCUACUGAAACCUCAAAGGCAGGCACACGAUCAUUCCAAAAUCGACCCUAUAGUGAGUGAGUUCAAACAAUAGAAAAUAUUCCAAAUCUAAAAUUCAAUUGUGCGGUGUGAUAGUUAAAUUGCAACGUGGCACAGUGAGUGCAUUUGCAAAGAUAAAAUA